ensembl:lncRNA
GAUGACAUUAAUCAGAGUUUUAAUGAUUUAAACUGAGAUUAAUCACAGUUUUAAUGAUUUAAACUGAGAUUGAUCAGAGUUUUAAUAAUUUAAGCUGACAUUAAUCAGAGUUUUAAUAAUUUAAGCUGACAUUAAUCAGUGUUUUAAUGAUUUAAGCUGACAUUAAUCAGAGCUUCUUCUUGUUCAGGAGAGCUUCAUCCGUCAAACUGAGUCUGGCGAAACUGGCCGAAGCUCCGGAGGAUUCGUCCUCCAAACAUCUGGACCGUAGAGCUGCUAGCCUGGAGAGACAAUCGUCCACGGAGGGCCAGCCUCCACCCAAACCCCCCCACACCUACUACAACAGACACUCCUACCCUGAGGGGGGGGAGGGGCUCCACUCAGGUGAGGCCUUCACAAAAAAAAAAAAAAAGAAAUUAAAGCUGCAAACAGCGUUGGUCGGGUCCUCGCAUCCGAGCGGCCCGGCUUUCCCAUGCAUAUCCACCAGGUGGCGCUGCAACUGAGAGUGUAUAUCGACAACAUGGCGGCGAGCGGUGCAGAUCUAAAGGUACGUGUCUACUAGAUGCUAUUUUCCCGCACGGCAACACACCACAUCUGAAAAUCACACGGACGGCGGGCGGUCACUAGCGGACCACAACAUGGUCACAUGACAGCACUGACCAACAGCAGGCUGCUACGUGGUCACAUGACCGAGCUUUCAGCUGGACAGUCCUGCAGAUGAGUCGGUUAAACACAGCAGCUCGGCUGCAAACUUUCCCUUUUAUUUCAAAAACACGUCAGCGAAAAGUAUUUCUGAAAGCAUUUGAAGCGAGAAAUAAUCUGUGCAGCAGCUGAAUCUGUCCUCGUUUUAGGUCACUGACGCCUAGUUUAGAAGUUUGAGGACAGUUUCACGAUGCGUGGAAUCUCCGCACGCCUCACUGAAUUUGCAUUAAGUAGAAGUCAGUCUACUUUAUGCAAAUGAGCUGCAGCCCUCUCCAGGUAAACACACCUGAUCACAGCAGGAAACGCACCACAACCAGACCAGCAGCCACAUGCGGCGCAUUUCCAGCUGUGAUCAGGUGUGUUUACCUGGAGAGGGCUGCAGCUUAUUUGCAUAAAGUAGACUGGACUCCGCCGUGCAGAGAUUAGGUAGAGGGUUAAAAAAAUCGGAUAAAUUGUGAAUCGGGAUUUUUUGUGAAAAAAUCUGAGAUUUUUUUUUAGGCCAUAUCGCCCAGCCCUAGAUUUGAGCAUGUACAGUGUAGUUAGACAGCACUUGCUGUUUCAUGGCAAGAAAUCCAAAAUGGCCACCAGGUGGAGCUAUCACUGUGAACAUAUGUCGACCUAUGGAUGUGAUUGUGGCCAGACUGUGAUCACACAUGUAAAGUUUGGGGCAGAUUGGUACAUGUCCAGGCUAGUUAUACAGCACUUCCUGUUUCAUGGUGAGACAUCCAAAAUGGCCGCAUAACGCUGGUCGCCAUGGCCACGCCCUCAGACUUUUGCGGAGCAUUUUGAUAACUUCUGAUCACCCAAGACUGGUGUCCAUCCUGACCAAAUUUUAGCUCUCUCAGAGUUACACUCUUUGAGUUUAUAGCUUUUGAAAAUAUCCAAAAAUGACAAAAUUGUCCAAAAUAUGAAUCAUAUUUCAAAAUGGCCGCAUUCCGUGGCUCGCCAUUUCCAUGCCCUCAGACUUUUGCGGAGCGUUUUGAUAACUUUUGAUCACCCAUGACUGGAGUACAUCUUGGCCAAAUUUCAGCUCUCUCGGGAUUACGCUGUUUGAGUUUAUAGAUUUUAAAAAAUGUCCAAAAAUGACACAAAAUUUUCCAAAACAUGACUCAAAAUUCAAAAUGGCCGACUUCCUGUUGGAUUAUGGGUAAUGAUGCAAGAGGCUUUUUUGUGCGUCUUGAUGAGUUACAUACGUGUACCGAAUUUCAGAAGUGUAGGUCAAAUGCUGUCCGGGGGCUGAAUUUUCUUAAUUUUCUAGGGGGCGCUAUUGAGCCAUUUUGGCACGCACCGGUCCUGAUGUGUGUGGCGAUUUUCAUGCAUUUUCGUGUAUGUUUAGGGCGUCAGAAAUGCCGAUUUCCCGGCCGAUGAAUAAAGAAAAAAUAAUAAUUCCUAGGGUUUCAAUAGGUUCCUCGUACCACUUCAUGGUGCUCGGACCAUAAUAAUAAUAAUUCCUAGGGUUUCAAUAGGUUCCUCGUACCACUUCAUGGUGCUCGGACCAUAAUAAUAAUAAUUCCUAGGGUUUCAAUAGGUUGGCUAAUAAAAAGCAGAUUUCAGCCACAUGGGUGGAUGGACUAUAGAUAGACUAUAGAUUGAUUGAUAGGUUGUUAAUCCUGAGAGAAAUUCAAAGUAUUCAGCAGCUUACAUACAUCAUAAUUAACAAAAAGACAAAACAGGGAUGUUAGUAACAUUACAGGUUAGUAUAAACUCUGAAAAACACUUCUAAUUUUAGCUUCUAUAGAAAUGCUAAAUAUAUGAAAUGUCAAACAAUAUUUACACCUUUCAAGACACGGAGAUUUAAAGUGAUUUGCAGGUAGUAAGACAACAGUUGUAUUAAUCUACAUGAGGUGCACAGACGUUCUACGAUCACAUUAGAUCAGUUCUACUGUGGUCAAGACUGAGACCUCCUGACCCCUCAGUGAUGAGUUCUACAGUCUGAUGGGGACCAAAGAGUUCCUGUUGGUGGAGCAGGUCAGAGACAGCAGCCUGGAGCUGAACACUCCUCUGAUCACAGUCCUGUUGUCCAGGAUGGAGUGGAUCUUCUACCAGAGUCCAGCUCUGUCCCACCACUGGACCAGCUGUCCUCACCAGUCUGUCCCUCGUUUCAGUGCUCCCUCCCCAACAAGCUACAGCUUGAAGAGAACACUGGACACGGCAGACUGGUAGAACAUCAGCAGCAGGUCCUUCCAGAUGUUCAAGGACCCCGGUCUCCUCAGGAAGUACAGACAACUCUGUCCUUUCCUGUAGAUGCUGUCCGUGGUGUCUCACCAGUCCAGUUUGUUGUCCAGCUGCCGUCCCGGGUACUGAUAUGUCCUGAACACCUCCACGUCCGUGACCCUGGUGGAAACGAGCUGGAGAUGGGGUCUGUUCCUCCUGAAGUCCACCACCAUCUCCUUGGUCCUGGAGGUGUUCAGCUGCAGGUAGUUUGAGCUCCACCAUCCCAAGAAGUCCUCCACCAGGCCCCUGUCCUGGACGUGUUGAACCUGGUGUUGAAGAAGCUGCUCCAGGAUCUUCAUGACAUCAGAUCCACUGUUCUGAAGUCCUCUGGCUGGCUGGGUGUGGUUUCUUACUGGAAGAAGAUGAUGAACCUGUGGACGUUUGUUCUGAUUGAACUUUGCUUCUCUGCAGGUUUCCAGAGCAACCACCAGAACCAGCCUGCAUCAGGACCUCCAUCAGAACCUUCAUCUGGACCUCCAUCAGAACCUCCUCCCCAGAACCAACCCACCAUGACCCCCCAGCCACCAGAACACUCCAUCAAACCCAGGAUGAGCGUCUUCAGGAAGUUCUUCACCAAGAAGUAGAUUAGCACUCAGCAUCCUUCACAAUAAAAGUCCAAUAAUCACAUUUUAGAAAUAAAGUGCUUCAAACAGAAAGCCUUAAAGAGAAAUGAGACGAGAGAAGAGUUUGGAUAAAAACUCACGUUUCAGUCUUUUUAUCUUCUGGUUCCUUUUUAAUCUGAAGUUCUGCAGCUCUGAGGAACAAGAACAUCAUGAAGAACGAGAGAGAAGUCAGGAAAACAUUAAAAUUCUUCUCCAGAUAUUACAGAUAUUUAACUUUUUACAGCUUCUACAGGAGAUAAAAGGUUUGAAAUAAUCAGAGAUAAAGAAAUAUUUCUGAAAUAAAAUAGCAGAAAUAAAGACAAAUGAUUCAUAUUCUGAGAUAAAUGUUGAAUUUAUUCAAUUAUAAUUUAAAGACAGAAAAACAAUAGAAAACUAAUCACAUUUAUAUUUUUGUUAAUUAAAUCUUUACUUGUUGCCAAAGUUCUGUCUCAUUAUUCGCCCCGAUUUGUUUCAUGUAUUUUUUAGUCUUUUAAAAUCCAGACAUGAUUUGAUUAAAUAUUUUUUUCAGUUUGUUGAAUUUUCCCCACAUUCGGUGUAAUUAAAGGAAAAGUUGAAAAUCUGAUGUUUGUUUCUGUUUUUAAACUGUGUAGCUGAUAAAUGUUGUUAAUUUUGGAGAUUUUCUUUAAAAGAGAAACCAAAUAAUUAAAAUUAAAAGUGGAAAUCUGGAUAAAAAUAUCAAAAUAAUAAGACCUCCAGGUCAGAAUCAGGACAUAAAAAUCAUAA